rfam:Ipomoea nil DNA, scaffold: scaffold2701, cultivar: Tokyo-kokei standard.
CUAGAGUGAUACUAUUUAGGCAAAUUAGAUGUUGAUGAGCUCCUUGAGGUAUUUCUGUUUUAAAUGAUACCUUAGAUAGAACUGCAGAAGUAUAUCUCUUUGAAGAUAACACAUAAAGACAUAUUGUUGGUUGAUUGCUGACCAGA